UACGAGGGGGGCAAGCGUUGUUCGGAAUUACUGGGCGUAAAGGGCUCGUAGGCGGCCAACUAAGUCAGACGUGAAAUCCCUCGGCUUAACCGGGGAACUGCGUCUGAUACUGGAUGGCUUGAGUGUGGGAGAGGGAUGCGGAAUUCCAGGUGUAGCGGUGAAAUGCGUAGAUAUCUGGAGGAACACCGGUGGCGAAGGCGGCAUCCUGGACCGAGAUUGACGCUGAACGGCGAAAGCUAGGGGAGCAAACGGG
rnacentral:rRNA from 1 species